rnacentral:rRNA from 1 species
ACUCAAAUGAAUUGACGGGGGCUCACACAAGCGGUGGAGGAUGUGGUUUAAUUCGAAGCAACGCGAAGAACCUUACCAGGUCUUGACAUACCGGGAUUAAUUUAGUGAAAGCUAAGUGAUUGCCCGCAAGGGUGUAACCGGAACAGGUGCUGCAUGGCUGUCGUCAGCUCGUGCCGUGAGGUGUCAGGUUAAGUCCUUUAACGAGCGAAACCCCUACUGCUAGUUACCAUCAGGUCAUGCUGGGGACUCUAGCGGGACUGCCGCGCAAGCUGGAGGAAGGUGGGGACGACGUCAAGUCAUCAUGGCCCUUAUGACCUGGGCUACACACGUCCUACAAUGGGUGGUACAACGGGUAGCAAGGCGGCAACGCCAAGCCAAUCCCUGAAAGCCACCCUCAGUUCAGAUUGUGGGCUGCAAUUCGCCCACAUGAAGCUGGAAUCGCUAGUAAUCGCGGAUCAGCCACGCCGCGGUGAAUUUGUUCCUGAGCCUUGUACACACCGCCCGU